UGGGGAAUAUUGCACAAUGGGCGAAAGCCUGAUGCAGCGACGCCGCGUGAAGGAUGAAGGCCUACGGGUUGUAAACUUCUGUUAAGUGGGAAGAAAUAGCUACUUCUAAUAAAAGUAGAAGAUGACUGUACCAUUAGAGAAAGCACCGGCUAAACUCGUGCCAGCAGCCGCGGUAAUACGAGUGGUGCAAGCGUUAUUCGGAAUCAUUGGGCGUAAAGGGUGUGUAGGCGGCAAAUCAAGUUUAUUGUUAAAUCUCCCGGCCUAACCGGGAUAGUGCGGUGAAUACUGAUUUGAUAGAGGGUGGAAGAGAGAAGUGGAAUUCUCGGAGUAGCGGUAAAAUGCGUAGAUAUCGAGAGGAACACCGAUGGCGAAGGCAGCUUCUUGGUCCAUACCUGACGCUGAAACACGAAAGCGUGGGGAGCAAACAGGAUUAGAUACCCCGGUAGUCC
rnacentral:rRNA from 1 species